ensembl:lncRNA
UUUAUUCUUUGUAAGUACACUUAACUGGCAUUUUACUUAAUUUAUAUUAGCACAGAUUUUUUUAAAGAAUGCUUUUAAGAUUUGAAGUACACGGCAAUUGCACAUUUAAUACAAUUAAGCACUCUUCUUUUCAAAAGGGAAAGUUUAACAGUAGACUUACAGUGCUUACAGUGGCAAUCAAGUCAUAUCAGCUUCCCAAGCAAAGCUGAUGCAAUAACCCAUUGUUAUUUAAUGUCAGUGGGAAGAUAAUGAUUAAAAAGAUUAAUGUUGAUGAAAAAACUCUGUGUUGCAUAAUUGAGACAAAGGCCAUUGUGUGAGGAGGAAACGGGGGGGGGGGGGGAAGAGAGACAGAAUUUAGCUAGAAGAAGGAAGUCCUUCAUUGUUGCUGAAUAUUGCCCUUGCACUCCAAUUUGCCAUUGAUCCUGGCUCCAUCUUUGGACUUUCUGAUCCCUGCCCUGGCCAUGCUUUCUGCUCAGUCAGGGGCUGCUGUGGCCUGCAGGGGGCAGUGCACUGAACCGGAGGAGCCUGUGGCCCCAGCACACCCAUUGAGAGGCAUGGCUGUGGUGGCAGGUAUGGUGCAGCUCGCUGUGGGUUUGACUGGUCUGAGUGGCUUUGCACUGGGACGUUGUGCACCAUUAGUUCUGGCUCCUCUCCUCUGCCUUCUGGGGUUUUUCAUCUACAGGGAGGCAGCGCUGCUUUGUUCUGACCACUGGGGCAUGGCUGCACUGUAAGGACACACUUUUCUGAAGUCUUUCAAAUUGCGUACACUGUCCAGGAAAAAAUAACAUUAGCAAUUUGUAAUAUGUUUAAUUUUAGUUGAACAAUAUUAAUUAAACAAUAUAGAAAUACCUUAUAAAAACAGAUUGGAAGGAAUAAGUGUUUCUUUUGCACUGUUGCAGUCAGUGUGUAACUUUUAUUUCAGGGCAGUUGUUCUUCUGGUGAUCCUGUCUCAGCAUCUGCCCUCCUUUCUGUGGCUGUCUGUGUUCUCCCUCUGCAGAAGACUCUCUCUGAGUCAAAUCAAGGGUUUUUGUUUAAAUUCAGGAUGACUUAAGACUGAAAUACACUGUAAGACUGAACUGAUUUUAAAACACUAGGCAUGAUACACUUGCUGACUUUCUUUGUAAAUGGUAAUAGAGAGAAACUGGGCAUAAUACACUAAACAACUGAGGAUCGCAUACUAACUUGCACAGAAACAAGUGCCUUUUUUCUGGGAGACAAAUUGAAACAUGAUGAAUUGGGUUAAAAAUAUUAAACAUGUUCAAUAUCCUCCAACUGGAUGGAAUCAAAAGCUAAAAAAUCAGAGUCUGUGCCUAUCAAACACUAAAUUAUUUUCUGUGAAAUGUCAGCUUUAAUCUGCAGACUGUCUCUGAUUUU